AGCUAUCAUUUUCCUAAGACAUUCGGGGGCCAACCAAAGCCGAUAUCCGAGGCGAGACCGCUAGUUGCUUCGCUGCACGGCGGAAGAGCUUUUGUGAUCGGUGACCGGUAUCCUCCAGCUGAGGGGCGUAUGGUGCAGUGUAGGCCGGCGUUCCGCGUCGCGAAUCCCUACGUCUGCCCCGGAUCGUCUCUUGGGCAACCCAGUGGGGGCAAUUGGAUGGCCCGUGAAAUCUCCCGAUGGCUUCGGUCUCGAGGGCUUUCUGGGCUGGGCGUCGAGCUCCGGCUCGGCCUCCGACCUUGUAAAUAUCCUGAUCACCCUUCCGGGGGUGGGGUGUGACUAGGCGUGAACACCCCUCGAGGGUGUACGACCGAACUCUUAAGAUAGU
rnacentral:misc_RNA from 1 species